AUGCAUACAGAAGAGUGCAUUGUGAGGUCCAGGAGCAAUGCAGAGAUGCACAGCGGAUUGCAACCUAGUAAUGCACACAGAAGAGUGCAUCGGGAGGUCCAGGAGCAAUGCAGUAAUGCACACAGAAGAGUGCAUCGGGAGGUCCAGGAGCAAUGCAGAGAUGCACAGGAGAUUAAAACUAGUAAUGCACACAGAAGAGUGCAUCGGGAGGUCCAGGAGCAAUGCAGAGAUGCACAGGAGAUUAAAACUAGUACUGCACACAGAAGAGUGCAUCGGGAGGUCCAGGAGCAAUGCAGAGAUGCACAGGAGAUUAAAACUAGUAAUGCACACAGAAGAGUGCAUCGGGAGGUCCAGGAGCAAUGCAGAGAUGCACAGGAGAUUAAAACUAGUAAUGCACACAGAAGAGUGCAUCGGAGGUCCAGGAGCAAUGCAGAGAUGCACAGGAGAUUAAAACUAGUAAUGCACACAGAAGAGUGCAUCGGGAGGUCCAGGAGCAAUGCAGAGAUGCACAGGAGAUUAAAACUAGUAAUGCACACAGAAGAGUGCAUCGGGAGGUCCAGGAGCAAUGCAGAGAUGCACAGGAGAUUAAAACUAGUAAUGCACACAGAAGAGUGCAUCGGGAGGUCCAGGAGCAAUGCAGAGAUGCACAGGAGAUUAAAACUAGUAAUGCACACAGAAGAGUGCAUCGGGAGGUCCAGGAGCAAUGCAGAGAUGCACAGGAGAUUAAAACUAGUAAUGCACACAGAAGAGUGCAUCGGGAGGUCCAGGAGCAAUGCAGAGAUGCACAGGAGAUUAAAACUAGUAAUGCACACAGAAGAGUGCAUCGGGAGGUCCAGGAGCAAUGCAGAGAUGCACAGGAGAUUAAAACUAGUAAUGCACACAGAAGAGUGCAUCGGGAGGUCCAGGAGCAAUGCAGAGAUGCACAGGAGAUUAAAACUAGUAAUGCACACAGAAGAGUGCAUCGGGAGGUCCAGGAGCAAUGCAGAGAUGCACAGGAGAUUAAAACUAGUAAUGCACACAGAAGAGUGCAUCGGGAGGUCCAGGAGCAAUGCAGAGAUGCACAGGAGAUUAAAACUAGUAAUGCACACAGAAGAGUGCAUCGGGAGGUCCAGGAGCAAUGCAGAGAUGCACAGGAGAUUAAAACUAGUAAUGCACACAGAAGAGUGCAUCGGGAGGUCCAGGAGCAAUGCAGAGAUGCACAGCGGAUUGCAACCUUACCGAAAGGGACUUUUCCUGCAUCAUGACCUGGCAGUGAUGGGUGCGCAAGGGGAAGAAAGCCAGUGA
rnacentral:lncRNA from 1 species